rnacentral:rRNA from 1 species
UCCAGACUCCUACGGGAGGCAGCAGUGGGGAAUAUUGCGCAAUGGGCGAAAGCCUGACGCAGCGACGCCGCGUGAGGGAUGAAGGUUUUCGGAUCGUAAACCUCUGUCAGAAGGGAAGAAAGUGCGUGGUGCUAAUCAGCCGCGUAUUGACGGUACCUUCAAAGGAAGCACCGGCUAACUCCGUGCCAGCAGCCGCGGUAAUACGGAGGGUGCGAGCGUUAAUCGGAAUUACUGGGCGUAAAGCGCACGUAGGCUGUUGUGUAAGUCAGGGGUGAAAUCCCACGGCGCAACCGUGGAACUGCCCUUGAUACUGCAUGACUGGAAUCCGGGAGAGGGUGGCGGAAUUCCAGGUGUAGGAGUGAAAUCCGUAGAUAUCAGGAGGAACACCGGCGGCGAAGGCGGCCUGCUGGACCGCGACUGACGUUGAGGCUCGAAAGCGUGGGGAGCGAACAGGAUUAGAUACCCGAGUAAA